AUUGAACGCUGGCGGCAGGCCUAACACAUGCCAGUCGAGCGGAUGAAGGGAGCUUGCUCCUGGAUUCAGCGGCGGACGGGUGAGUAAUGCCUAGGAAUCUGCCUGGUAGUGGGGGAUAACGUCCGGAAACGGGCGCUAAUACCGCAUACGUCCUGAGGGAGAAAGUGGGGGAUCUUCGGACCUCACGCUAUCAGAUGAGCCUAGGUCGGAUUAGCUAGUUGGUGGGGUAAAGGCCUACCAAGGCGUCGAUCCGUAACUGGUCUGAGAGGAUGAUCAGUCACACUGGAACUGAGACACGGUCCAGACUCCUACGGGAGGCAGCAGUGGGGAAUAUUGGACAAUGGGCGAAAGCCUGAUCCAGCCAUGCCGCGUGUGUGAAGAAGGUCUUCGGAUUGUAAAGCACUUUAAGUUGGGAGGAAGGGCAGUAAGUUAAUACCUUGCUGUUUUGACGUUACCAACAGAAUAAGCACCGGCUAACUUCGUG
rnacentral:rRNA from 1 species